AUGACUUUUCUAGCCUGGGACUGUCGAGGACUGGGGUUGGACUCGACAGUGGGCAAAUUACAAGACCUGGUAUGGUCCUACAACCCAGCGGUGGUGUUCUUAUCUGAAACUAAGAAAAGAUCAUGAGCGAUGCAGAAAGUACAGUGGAGCCUUGGUUUCAGUAAAGGAGUGGCGGUGGAUUGUGAUGGAAAAAGUGGAGGGCUAGCACUUUGGUGGAGAGACCAUCUGGAAGUUACUGUCAGGCCUUGGUGCCAAUACUAUAUCGAUGCAACAGUGGUGGUAGAUGGGAACACUUUUAGAUUCACUGGAAUCUAUGGUGAACCUUGUGUGGAAAAGAGGCGGAAAACUUGGGAGGUUAUUCGAUACCUGCGCAGACAGGAUGACCUACCCUGGUUGUGUGCAGGUGACUAA
rnacentral:rRNA from 1 species